rnacentral:rRNA from 1 species
CGAGCACGCGCGUGUGGCAUAUCAAUAAGCGGAGGAAAAGAAACUAACUAGGAUUCCCUCAGUAACGGCGAGUGAAGCGGGAAGAGCUCAAAUUUGAAAUCUUCAAGGUUCUACCUUGACGAAUUGUAGUUUAUAGAAGUGUUUUCUGUUAGUGGAGUGGCAAAAGUUCUUUGGAAUAGGACAUCAUAGAGGGUGAGAAUCCCGUAUUUGGUCAGUCCUCCUAGCGUUGUGAUACACUUUCAACGAGUCGGAUUGUUUGGGAAUGCAGUCCAAAAUGGGCGGUAAAUUUCAUCUAAAGCUAAAUAUUGGCGAGAGACCGAUAGCGAACAAGUACCGUGAGGGAAAGAUGAAAAGAACUUUGAAAAGAGAGUUAAACAGUACGUGAAAUUGUCAAAAGGGAAGCGUUUGACACCAGUGUUGUUUUUCCGAAAAUCAAUUACGAAUGUUUUAUUUUUGAGGAGUUAUGACUUCAUCGGCUUGCUCCUUUCUUUAUGAAACUUUCUUAAUGCACUUUUCGGUUAACAAGUCAACAUCAAUUUCUUUUGUUGUAAAAGGGUAAGAGGAAGGUGGCUUGCGCUUCGGCUCAAGUGUUUAUAGCCUUUUAUCUCUGCAAUCGGAGAGAUUGAGGUCUGCAGCGUAGAUCCUUCGGGUUAGAUACACUUGUGCUAAGUUAUAGCUUUUCAUAGACAACUUGUUGAUUAUGUUAAGUCUUGUAGCUUACUCGCCUAUGCUAUUUUACCUACGCUUAGGAUGUUGAACUCUAUCACACACAG